ensembl:lncRNA
GGACGCUCGAACAAAGUACCCGUCAUGUUAAAUCGGUCCCGUCAUUUAACUGCUACAACAUAAGAAUAUUACAUGGUGUCAGAGUUAUUAAGAACUCAACGCUUACCAUUCAGUCGGGAUGCAUUCCUCUGGUGUUCAGAGCCCAACUUUGGACUGGGAAUCUGCUAAUUUACCGGAGUCGUGGAGAAGGUUCAAGCAGCAUGUGAAGCUAAUGUUCACCGGCCCACUGAAAGCCGUGAGCGAGGAGGAUAAAUGCAGUUACCUUCUACUGUGGGUCGGAGACAAAGGUCGGGGCAUUUUUAACACUUGGACACUCACGGAAGAUCAGGCUAAAUUGUUGGAGACGUACUACGUCAAGUUUGAGGAAUAUGUGACCCCAAAAGCGAACCCCAUUUUUGCAAGAUACAAGUUUCAAGAAAGAAUGCAAGGCUCUGGCGAGCCAUUUGAGCAAUUCGUCUGGGAUUUGAAGUUGCUGGUCAAGGACCAUGGCUAUGCUGAAUCGGACCAGAUGGUUAGGGACCGGAUAGUUUUCGCAACGAACUCUCAUAAGAUGUGUUCCAGGGCGUUGGACAGAUCCCAGGUGAAUGCAGCAUACGCCUGGACCCCACAGCCACACCCGUCGUGUGCCCACCACGGAGAAUCCCGUUCACCCUCCGCAGCCGCCUGAAGGACGAGCUCGAUGAGAUGGAAGGGGCCGAAAUCAUCGCGAAAGUGACCGAGCCUACAGACUGGGUUCCUCCGCCUUCCUUUCGGCAUCGUAUCAGCCCAGGAUGAGUUUCAGAGAAAAAUAGACGAGACGUAUGAGGGCCUGAAAGGCGUCGCUGCAAUAGUUGACGAUAUCCUGGUCUACGGGCGAACCAGAGAGGAACACGACGCUAACCUGCGGGCCAUGCUGGAGAGGACCAGAGAGAGAGGUGUACGGCUCAACCCCGAGAAGAGCAGGAUCUGUG